UACGUAGGUGGCAAGCGUUGUCCGGAUUUACUGGGCGUAAAGAGCGCGCAGGCGGUUAGAUAAGUCGAAUGUGAAAGCCCCCGGCUCAACUGGGGAGGGUCAUUCGAUACUGUUCGACUCGAAGGCAGGAGAGGGAAGUGGAAUUCCCGGUGUAGUGGUGAAAUGCGUAGAUAUCGAGAGGAACACCUGCGGCGAAGGCGGGUUGCUGGGCUGACACUGACGCUGAUGCGCGAAAGCUAGGGGAGCGAACGGG
rnacentral:rRNA from 1 species